rnacentral:misc_RNA from 1 species
UACGGAGGGUGCUAGCGUUGAUCGGAAUUACUGGGCGUAAAGCGCGCGUAGGUGGCUUGAUAAGCCGGUUGUGAAAGCCCGGGGCUCAACCUGGGGACGGCAGCCGGUACUGUCAAGCUAGAGUACAGGAGAGGAAGGUAGAAUUCCCGGUGUAGCGGUGAAAUGCGUAGAGAUCGGGAGGAACACCAGUGGCGAAGGCGGCCUUCUGGACUGACACUGACACUGAGGUGCGAAAGCGUGGGUAGCAAACAGG